UGGGGAAUCGUCUAAUGGUAGGACGACUGACUCUGAAUCAGUUAAUCGGGGUUCGAAUCCCUGUUCCCCAGCCA
rnacentral:tRNA from 2 species